AUAAGGGCGCACGGUGGAUGCCUUGGCACUAGGAGCCGAUGAAGGACGGGACUAACACCGAUAUGCUUUGGGGAGCUGUAAGUAAGCUAUGAUCCAGAGAUUUCCGAAUGGGGGAACCCAAUAUCUUUUAUAGGAUAUUACUUUUCAGUGAAUACAUAGCUGAUUAGAGGUAGACGCAGAGAACUGAAACAUCUUAGUACCUGCAGGAAGAGAAAGAAAAUUCGAUUCCCUGAGUAGCGGCGAGCGAAACGGGAAGAGCCCAAACCAACAAGCUUGCUUGUUGGGGUUGUAGGACUCCAAUAUGGUAGUCUGUUAGUAUAGUUGAAGGAUUUGGAAAAUUCCGCUAAAGAGGGUGAAAGCCCCGUAGACGAAAUGCUGACAACACCUAGGAGGAUCCUGAGUACGGCGGAACACGAGAAAUUCCGUCGGAAUCCGCGGGGACCAUCCCGCAAGGCUAAAUACUCCCUAGUGACCGAUAGUGAACCAGUACCGUGAGGGAAAGGUGAAAAGCACCCCGGAAGGGGAGUGAAAUAGAUCCUGAAACCGUGUGCCUACAACAAGUCAAAGCUCGUUAAUGAGUGAUGGCGUGCCUUUUGUAGAAUGAACCGGCGAGUUACGAUUGCAUGCGAGGU
rnacentral:rRNA from 1 species